UAACAGUCAUAUUGUGGUGUGGCACAAUGUCUAAUUGAUUCUGAGGUCAAACAGCAAACAAGGACAUCAGAUCGACGUCGACGUCUUCAUUAUUUGAUUAUGGGAAUGGUAGGCAAAUGAAGACUCCAAGGAUUACCCAAGGAAGCGUUUCCCAAUCCAUAGGUUCCCUUUCGGCUCUGAGGUUACUUAAUGCUGGUGUCUCAUCGUUCAAAGGGUUAGGUAAAGAUGCACAUAGGCAAAAAAUGGCGUUCGUCAAAUUAAAGAAAUUUUUUGCAGCAUUGCUUCGUUUAAAAGUGGAAGCACGAGUUGACGAGUCUGAAGCUGGUCGGAAGUGGUCGGAGCGUAAUCAAUAUCCAAUGUUUGGAGUCCCUGUCGAAAUAAGUACCAAUGAUGCAUUUUUGUAAAUACCAAUUCACUGUGUAAUUUGCAUAAGGUGUUUGGUUUUCCUCACUUACAAGAUGGCCCAAUACAAAGGGGCUGCUAGAGAAGGGCAAAGAGCUGCUCAUUUAAUGAAAAAAAGAGAGAAACAGAAGGAAGAAUUGGAAUUGCUCAAAAAGAAGAUUGCAGAUGAAUCUAAGUCUGGCACUAUUGGGUUUGGAAGCAAAUUUGAAACUCAGUAUGAUGUUGUUGAACAGCAGCUCAAGUCUAGCACAAUUGGUUUGGUCACACUUGAUGAGAUGAAAGCAAAAAGGGAAGAUUUGGUUAGAGAACAUGAAAAGAAAUUGGCUGCUCAGUUGAAGCAAGAUGAGAAAGACAAGAAAAUGAAGAAGAAGAAAAAACUUGAGAAAAUUUCUUCAGGAUUGUCAUUUGACAUCGAUGGUGAAGAUGAUGAAGACGAUUUCGAACCAGAAGUUAAGAAGAGAAAGCCAGGAAAGAAUCCAGAUGUUGAUACUUCAUUUUUGCCCGAUAAGGAUAGAGAGGAGGAAGAAAGAAAGGAGCGCGAGAGAUUGAGACAAGAAUGGGUGGACAUGCAAGAUAAGAUAAAAAAGGAAGACAUAGAAAUCACGUACAGCUACUGGGAUGGCUCUGGCCAUAGACGUCGACUUAUAAUGAAAAAAGGCAACUCAAUUCAACAGUUUUUACAAAAAUGUCUUGAGCAGCUUCGUAAAGAUUUCACCGAACUCAAGCCAGUUACAACAGAGCAACUCAUGUAUGUAAAGGAAGAUUUAAUAAUUCCACAGCACUACACAUUUUACGAUUUUAUCGUCAAUAAAGCUCGUGGAAAGAGUGGACCAUUGUUCAAUUUUGACGUGCACGAGGAUGUCAGAUUGACGAAUGAUGCAACAAUUGAAAAAGACGAGGUGACUCCCACGCUGGCAAAGUUUGUUUGAGAACUUGGUACGAAAGAAAUAAACAUAUUUUUCCUGCGAGCAGGUGGGAGCCUUACGAUCCAGAAAAAAAAUGGAGUAAAUAUACGAUCUCUGAGAAAAAGUGAACUUGGUGAACGCAGACAGUUUGAUGCAAUGCAUGUGACGUGAGAAAGGGCAAGAGAUUUUAUACACGCUGCACGCUAACUCGAGAACAUGAAAUUGAAUCUCUUAGGUUUGAAACAUGUCAUGUCUUUGAAGCAACUAAAAUUAUGGCAAUUGCAUAAUUCACUUUGUAAAUAUACAUCUUAGGUUUGAAAAAUCCUGGACUGGAAUAUUUUACUUUGAUACACGAUUGGAAAAACCGCAUGUGAACUAAAUUCAAUCACAGAAAAAAGAUAUUUACUGUUAUAAGGCUAUAGUAA